rnacentral:rRNA from 1 species
GAUGAACGCUGGCGGCGUGCCUAAUACAUGCAAGUCGAGCGAACAGACGAGGAGCUUGCUCCUCUGACGUUAGCGGCGGACGGGUGAGUAACACGUGGAUAACCUACCUAUAAGACUGGGAUAACUUCGGGAAACCGGAGCUAAUACCGGAUAAUAUAUUGAACCGCAUGGUUCAAUAGUGAAAGACGGUUUUGCUGUCACUUAUAGAUGGAUCCGCGCCGCAUUAGCUAGUUGGUAGGGUAACGGCUUACCAAGGCAACGAUGCGUAGCCGACCUGAGAGGGUGAUCGGCCACACUGGAACUGAGACACGGUCCAGACUCCUACGGGAGGCAGCAGUAGGGAAUCUUCCGCAAUGGGCGAAAGCCUGACGGAGCAACGCCGCGUGAGUGAUGAAGGUCUUCGGAUCGUAAAACUCUGUUAUUAGGGAAGAACAAAUGUGUAAGUAACUAUGCACGUCUUGACGGUACCUAAUCAGAAAGCAACGGCUAACUACGUG